rnacentral:tRNA from 1 species
GGUGGCAUGGCCAAGCGGUAAGGCAGAGGUCUGCAAAACCUCCAUCCCCAGUUCAAAUCUGGGUGCCACCU